UUUUUUUCUUUGGCCAUUUGGGGAUAAUCUUGCUGUUUUCCAUGGAUAAGGAACAUCAAUUGUUAAGUAUUUUAAAUCCUAUUUGGAAAUUCAGCUUUUAAUCUAUGUUUAUUGCUCUAUAUAGGCAAUAACCUUACCUCUUCAUCUUCCAUGGAAUAAGCCCAUUCCUUUAUCUUCAUGUACUUGCAUAUAUAGAUCUUUAUUAUAGAUGACAUAUCUUUUAUAUCUUUCAACUGUUAUUUAUAUCAGCUAGAUAUAGAGAACAGCUCUGGGCAGGGAGUUUGGCAGGCAGUUGAGUUUUGCUUCGGUUGGAUUUAUGUUUUGGAGAUGGCUCUGAAGAUCUUUUCAUUUGGAUUUGAUGCUUACUGGAUCGAAGGUCAAAACCGUUUUGAUUUCGUAGUAACAUGGAUAAUAGGUGAGAAUCCGUGUUUAGUAUUACUUAUUGCUUUUAGUUCCCAUAACUUGAGACAGUAAUUUCUCUAUAUUGGCGUACAAUAAAGGGCCAAGGGUCAAAUAUUCUGUAAAUUGAACGUUGUUUCCAAUUUGUCGUUGUUAUUACUAGCCUGAAAAGAACACUGUUCUAAUAAUCAAAAUAUGACUAGUAUCAGAGACGCUACACUAGCUACUAUUUACUUAUCUAAGUUUUAAAGUGAGCAUAUGUAAAGCUGCAAGGAGGACAUAUAUACCCGGGUGCAAACUGAGUUUUAUCCGCUUUCAAUAUAAACUGAAGUGUUAAUGGGGUUGGGUAUGGGACCAAAGCCAGACCUGUUUUAUUUUUUGGAUUGGGUAUGCUACAUGGGAAAUUAAUCUAACUUGUUAAGAGACCUGUUUUUCAUGUGGAUUUCUGUGCUUUUUUACUCAAAGAUGGGCCUGAUCAAUUGAGUACCUAUUCGUUACCUAUUUUUUUUAACUUAGAAGUGCAGGUGGGUGGCGUUGUGUUCAAGUUUACCAUACUUCAUACUCAAUCCCACAAUAAUUUUGGUCUGAAACUUUGGCCCAUAGUUAACUGUUCGUCUAUCUGUUCAUGUAUAUCUGAGACGUCACAGCAGUGGCAGGUCUGUGAGGUCAGGAAUUUGAUUGACAUGGCCAAGUCCAAUUCCCACAAUUCAGGUACUUGUAGGAUUAGGCGAAUGUCGUUCUACUUUCAGGUUCAAGUUAAUCACAUAAAAGGAUGUAGAAAAGAAAAAAUUAUAUGACACGAUAGUCAUUCACAAUGCAGAGGCUUUGAUUGAGGGAAUACCUUUGACUUAGGUAUUUUUAUUGAGAUUAUGGUGAUCUGAUUAUGAAAAAUUUGUGUGUUCUUCAAAUUUUUUUUAAUUAUCAAUUUUGGGAUUUCAGUUAAUUGCUAGAUGAUAUUUUUUUUUGUUUGGAAUGGCUAAAUAAAAAAUAAAAAAGAUAACAACAAUGCCACAAAGAUGAGAUAGUUGAAAUGAUGUUCAAAUAAUGUCCAAGAUCCUUUUGUUAUCUAAACCUUGAUAGUUGGAAAGAGAUAGUUGAAAAGAUGUUCUAAGAUGAGAUAGUUGAAAAGAUGUUCAAAUAAUGUCCACGAUCCUUUUGUUAUCUAAACCAUGAAGCUCUAAUCUAACCCAUUCAUUCACAUGCACAGAAUAUCUCAUUUCCGCUUUUCUUUCUCCCCUUUCCACUUGUUUUCGUUCCUUACCUAAACCAAAAUCAUUGGAUAUAACAUCCUUCUCAAGAGUCGAGAGAAUGAAAUUUCUUUCUUGUCUCUCUAUCAAGGUCAAAAAUUCAAAACAGGGAGAUAAGAAAGGAUAUUAUAGGCUUGGAAUAUAUUUUCAAGUUUCCAAUGUUCUUUUAUCAUGUAGUGAUUUGCUUCAAACAAGACAAACCAUGAAAUCGUUUUAGAAAUAUAUUUUUGAUGUCAAAAUCGGUAAUGCAUGGAAAGAAAAGCACAGUUGUCUAAUAUCAAAUGAUCUCGAUCUACACAAGAUUUAUUACCAAAGCUGUAUCCCAAACAAAGACCGCUAUAUGAUGGCCUGUGAAUAGCCUUUGCUUUGUAUAUGGUAUUGCUUUCAUUAAACUUAAACCCGAGAUAAAACCGACUUGAGAGGAAAACAAGUAAAUCAUGGGAUUGAAUUUCUGGACAUUAAUUAUGGUGGCAUAGGGUAUGAAUCAUGGAAGACCCCAUCUCGACCUAACCACCUAUAGCCCAAAUUAUAUAUGGACUAUAUUCGACCUAUGUAAUUCAUAGUUAUUUAUCUCUAAUCCACACAUCCUACUAUGCAGUUAGGAGUUCACAUCUCGAGAUAUGUGUAUGUAGCUUAAUUUUAUUCUUAAUGAACCAUUAUUUGCAUUUCAAUAUUUAUUUGUAGAUGAUUUAGAAGUUAAAGUACCCGGCAUCUCUUAAAGAAUGAAUGUACAUCUAUUUUACUUCUUAGUUUCCUGAAAUUCAAGUGAAUUUUUGUUUUUCCCUUGAAUCUCAUGCUCAGUUUCCAUGAAUGAGUGUAAUGAAAUGCAGUAUAUUGGAUUGCACUGUGUCUGUGGUUGACAUCUUUUCUUUGCAGUUAUUGGAGAGGCUACAACUUUUUUCUUCUCAUCUGAGCUGCCUUUUCUUUCUAAUGGAGAAUGUUAUUUGGUGGGAUUGUAAACUCUGGUAAUCCGAGAUUGGUGGCAACUGAUCUUUUUGAUGAUGAUUACUUACUUUUCAACUUUAAUGACUACCCAAGUGGAAUGGUGACACUAUUCAAUUUGUUGGUGUUGGGAAAUUGGCAAGUGUGGAUGCAGAGCUACAAGGUCUUGACUGGAAGCUCCUGGACCCUUGCAUAUUUCAUUAGUUUUUACCUCAUAACAGUUCUACUGCUCCUUAAUCUGGUGCGUUCACGUUAACAGUCUUAUACUGCUUAAAAGUUUUUUCUUAAAUAAUGCUCUUUAUCUAAGGCAAAAAUAUAUCUAUAAUGAGCUUCCUAAGAGGUUACAUAUACAUGAG